AGAGUUUGAUUAUGGCUCAGAUUGAACGCUGGCGGCAUGCUUUACACAUGCAAGUCGAACGGCAGCACGGGUGCUUGCACCUGGUGGCGAGUGGCGGACGGGUGAGUAAUACAUCGGAACGUGUCCUGAAGUGGGGGAUAACGCAUCGAAAGAUGUGCUAAUACCGCAUAUACUCUGAGGAGUAAAGUAGGGGAUCGAAAGACCUUAUGCUUUUGGAGCGGCCGAUGUCUGAUUAGCUAGUUGGUGGGGUAAUUGCCUACCAAGGCGACGAUCAGUAGUUGGUCUGAGAGGACGGCCAGCCACACUGGGACUGAGACACGGCCCAGACUCCUACGGGAGGCAGCAGUGGGGAAUUUUGGACAAUGGGCGCAAGCCUGAUCCAGCAAUGCCGCGUGAGUGAAGAAGGCCUUCGGGUUGUAAAGCUCUUUCAGUUGAGAAGAAAAGAUUGUAACUAAUAAUUACAGUUCAUGACGGUAUCAACAGAAGAAGCACCGGCUAACUACGUGCCAGCAGCCGUGGUAAUACGUAGGGUGCGAGCGUUAAUCGGAAUUACUGGGCGUAAAGGGUGCGCAGGCGGUUCUGUAAGUCAGAUGUGAAAUCCCCGGGCUUAACCUGGGAACUGCGUUUGAAACUACAGAGCUAGAGUGUGGCAGAGGGGGGUGGAAUUCCAUGUGUAGCAGUGAAAUGCGUAGAGAUAUGGAAGAACAUCGAUGGCGAAGGCAGCCCCCUGGGUUAACACUGACGCUCAUGCACGAAAGCGUGGGGAGCAAACAGGAUUAGAUACCCCGGUAGUCCAA
rnacentral:rRNA from 1 species